ACGUUUGCCAUUGAUACAAAAGAUUGAUUAAAUUAAUGAGACAGCACAUUCCCGAUAGCGAAAUUCGACCGAGCUGAUAUAGCGGAACCUUCAUGUCCUCCAGACCUAUCGUCAGUCGGCAAACUACCUCAUAGACACAAAAAUUGACCGGAAACAAAAUUAAAAGAAGAGAUAUAGUGAAUGAGAUAGAGAUAAAGUUGAAAUGAAACAAAGAAAAAUGUGAGAAACUUAUAUACGUGAGAUUGCUGGAACUGUGCAUAAAAAAAUCAAAUCCUUUAGGAUUCAGCUGGCCAGAUGUUGAAAAAAUUGUUGGAGCAUCUGACAGAUGGUUUUCAGCAUAUCACCAACAAUAUCAACAGACCAGAGCAACUUACUUCUUUGAGGGCAUCGUCCGUCGUUAAGUUGACGGAAUUGUACGAGUCGACGUCUACGUCCGGGUCCUGGAAUGAAG